GAGUUUGAUCUUGGCUCAGGACGAACGCUGGCGGCGUGCUUAACACAUGCAAGUCGAACGGUAAGGCUCCAGCUUGCUGGGGUACACGAGUGGCGAACGGGUGAGUAACACGUGGGUGACCUGCCCUGCACUUCGGGAUAAGCCUGGGAAACUGGGUCUAAUACCGGAUAGGACCGCACCGUGAGGGUGUGGUGGAAAGUUUUUUCGUGUGGGAUGGGCCCGCGGCCUAUCAGCUUGUUGGUGGGGUAAUGGCCUACCAAGGCGGCGACGGGUAGCCGGCCUGAGAGGGUGGACGGCCACAUUGGGACUGAGACACGGCCCAGACUCCUACGGGAGGCAGCAGUGGGGAAUAUUGCACAAUGGGCGGAAGCCUGAUGCAGCGACGCCGCGUGGGGGAUGACGGCCUCGGUUGUAACGUA
rnacentral:rRNA from 1 species